rnacentral:rRNA from 1 species
GCUAACUACGUGCCAGCAGCCGCGGUAAUACGUAGGUGGCAAGCGUUGUCCGGAAUUAUUGGGCGUAAAGCGCGCGCAGGCGGUCUUUUAAGUCUGAUGUGAAAGCCCCCGGCUCAACCGGGGAGGGUCAUUGGAAACUGGGAGACUUGAGUGCAGAAGAGAAGAGCGGAAUUCCACGUGUAGCGGUGAAAUGCGUAGAGAUGUGGAGGAACACCAGUGGCGAAGGCGGCUCUUUGGUCUGUAACUGACGCUGAGGCGCGAAAGCGUGGGUAGCGAACAGGAUUAGAUACCCCUGUAGUC